rnacentral:rRNA from 1 species
AGUGAACGCUGGCGGUAGGCCUAACACAUGCAAGUCGAACGGCAGCACAGUAAGAGCUUGCUCUUACGGGUGGCGAGUGGCGGACGGGUGAGGAAUACAUCGGAAUCUACUUUUUCGUGGGGGAUAACGUAGGGAAACUUACGCUAAUACCGCAUACGACCUACGGGUGAAAGCAGGGGAUCUUCCGACCUUGCGCGAUUGAAUGAGCCGAUGUCGGAUUAGCUAGUUGGCGGGGUAAAGGCCCACCAAGGCGACGAUCCGUAGCUGGUCUGACAGGAUGAUCAGCCACACUGGAACUGAGACACGGUCCAGACUCCUACGGGAGGCAGCAGUGGGGAAUAUUGGACAAUGGGCGCAAGCCUGAUCCAGCCAUACCGCGUGGGUGAAGAAGGCCUUCGGGUUGUAAGGCCCUUUUGUUGGGAAAGAAAAGCAGCAGGUUAAUACCCCGCUGUUCUGACGGUACCCAAAGAAUAAGCACCGGCUAACUUCGUG